rnacentral:rRNA from 1 species
UACGUAGGGUGCAAGCGUUGUCCGGAAUUAUUGGGCGUAAAGAGCUCGUAGGCGGUCUGUCGCGUCGGCUGUGAAAUCCCGAGGCUCAACCUCGGGUCUGCAGUCGAUACGGGCAAACUUGAGUGUUGCAGGGGAGACUGGAAUUCCUGGUGUAGCGGUGAAAUGCGCAGAUAUCAGGAGGAACACCGAUGGCGAAGGCAGCUCGCUGGGACGGUACUGACGCUGAGACGCGAAAGCGUGGGGAGCAAACAGG